UCGUCUUCGCCCUUUACUACCACAUCGACCUUCUCAUCAAAAAUGGUCAUUUCGCUUCUCGUGGUACGAAAAUUCCCUUCAUUGAUAUAGCCAUCUCUGUUUUGUCAUUAAAUUCAUCGAUUAGAUUUCUUAUUAUUAUAUUUGCUGAUGGUAGAGAAUCGAAAGGACACCAUAACGUACAUACCAGGGGUGCCGGCGGUCGAGCCGACCGACCUCAUGUCGUACCUCCAAGAGACGGAUACAACUUCGCUGCUGCAUCAGAUAAUCUUCAAGGCAUUUGAAGAAGCCAAGGGGGC
rnacentral:lncRNA from 1 species